rnacentral:rRNA from 1 species
CUCAGUCUCCGAAGGUCAUUA